UGUCUGUCUGUCUGUCUGUCUGUCUCUCUCUCUGUCUGUCUGUCUCUCUCUCCCGAAUUCCGAAGUCCCCUGAAAAAUCUAGUGUGAACUACAUGUAUGCUCAUCAUCUUGGUGUUUCUGAUGGGGAAGUAUUGUCAUACCUAGUGCAAUUCAGGGGCGGAUUAUGGGGGGUUUCCCAGUUGCAUGGAAACUCCCCUGGCUAAAAAAAACAACCCACCCCACCAUGUAGAUCUAAGAUGAUGUCCAAGUAAAAGUUAUAAUUUCAAAUGAUAAACAUUUACAUAUUGUUUCGGACCCUCCCCCCCCCCCCCCCCCAUCUAAAGCAUAAUCCGCCCCUGUUCAUGCUAGAGUACGUUUGAAUAUUGUAAGUGUGCUUUUAGAAAUGUUUCAUCCUUCCUGUGUACCGUAUAGUGCCCUAUUUAAACGCUGCAUCCCCUUCCAGGAAAAUUCGUGCAUCCACCACCAACUCCCUGAGUCAGUAUGUUCGUUAUGUUUCUGGUCAUCCUAAUGUUUAUAGUGGCCCAAAUUUCGUUUUAUUUCCCAGUGCAUAUUUUAUCUUACAUACGAAAUUAUUGUGAGGUGAAAUCUAAUAUUUAUAGUAUCUCAAAUUUCGUUUUAUUUCCCAGUGCAUAUUUUAUCUUACGAAAUUAUUGUGAGGUGAAAUGUAAUAUUUAUAGUAUCUCAAAUUUCGUUUUAUUUUCCAGUACAUAUUGUAUCUUACAUACGAAAUUAUUGUGAGGUGAAAUCUAAUAUUUAUAGUAUCUCAAAUUUCGUUUUAUUUCCCAGUACAUAUUGUAUCUUACAUACGAAAUUAUUGUGAGGUGAAAUCUAAUAUUUAUAGUAUCUCAAAUUUCGUUUUAUUUCCCAGUGCAUAUUUUAUCUUACAUACGAAAUUAUUGUGAGGUAAAACCCAGUUUGGGCUACUAAGCACAUUAGGACGUCUAGCAACACAGAUGAAUAUAGAGACUGUGAUGUUUCAGGCACGGCAGAAAUAAGUAGACAUUGUCAGGGCUGACAGAUCGAGGGAGCAAAGCAAAGUUUCUUGUGGGUUCGGGGCUAGCUUUGCCAAUCGCCAAAUUCACCAAUUGCGAAUUUUGAGAACAAUUAGCGAAUUUUAUUUCAAUUUGGCGAAAACAACUUGUGUAAUAACUAAUAUUUUGUUGGACGAUAGCUAUAUGUUUUGCUUCUGUUUUUUUGUCAGAUAAUUUGUCGAAAUUUUCUUAUCAUCCAGAGCCCUCGUAAACUUUUGAAAACUAGAUGUCCUGAAAUGCAAUUUCCUGCAUUCUACAAGUAAAAUUAAUAUCUGCCUUAAGAUUUACUACCAAUAAUAUUUGUUAUUCAGGGCUGCAUUUUACGUAGCGAUAUUAGCGCUAAGAUCACCUUAGUGCAUAAGGUAACUAUGGACUUAAGGUGAUGUUAGGGCUAAGAUCACUUCGUAAAACGGGGCCCAGAAUCAUUGGCGGGAGGGGGGGGGGGGGGGGGGAUAGAACCCUCAUCAUAUGUAAUUUUAGUUUUUAAAAACCCUUUAGCCUGGUGCUUGUAAAUUUUAGUCUAGACUGAAGACUAAUGGAGUCUAAGUCUCAGUCUAACGCCAUGGCAACACCAUACAAACUGUAUAUGUGACGUCAUUAGAGAUUUUGAGUCUAUAUAUAGUCCUUCCCACAGGGAACGCUUUUUUUCAUACUGUGGAAUUUGCUACAUGUUACUGUUGGUUAUUUGUGAGCCGAUUGUUUUCUUUAAUUGCACACAAAAAUAGUUUGGGGUUUUGGGUUUAUUUUUAUUUUUUUGGUAUUUCGAAAACACUUUUACUUUUCUUCUUACGUCAAACCAGACUGCAAUUAUAACAUUUGUAGGAGGAUGGGAUGGACUUUAGACACUAAACUUUUAUAAGCUGGGACACUGAUAGUCUGAAACAUUAAAAUGGCAGCAAAUUCAGGGCAGUGGGUUAGGGUUAGGGUUAGUUGAUGGAUGGCCGAAAAGUCGGCACCACCCGCAGAUAACUUUAUUUAGUCUUCUUUUUUUUCUUUUUUUUAAUUCCCUAUUUUGGUUGUGUGGGUUAUUCUUUUUUUUCUUGGGUUUUUUUUUCUAUUUACAAUUUUUAAGUAAAAGUGCUCAAACUUAAGGGCAACGCUACACGAUACGAGUUGCUUGUACGACAAUAGCCACGAGAAUAACCAUUUGUCUUAUCAAUCAGCUAUUCUAGUGCCAGACACUCGUAUUGUGUGGCGCCGCCUUUAAAGUCACAGACCCUAGUUUGAGCUCGUGAAAAUAGACACUAACAUUGGUUAGUCUACAAACCUGUGAAAAUAGACACGAACAUUGGUUAGUCUCCAAACCUGUGAAAAUAGACACUAACAUUGGUUAGUCUACAAACCUGUGAAAAUAGACACGAACAUUGGUUAGUCUACAAACCUGUGAAAAUAGACACUAACAUUGGUUAGUCUACAAACCUGUGAAAAUAGACACGAACAUUGGUUAGUCUACAAACCUGUGAAAAUAGACACUAACAUUGGUUAGUCUACAAACCUGUGAAAAUAGACACGAACAUUGGUUAGUCUACAAACCUGUGAAAAUAGACACGAACAUUGGUUAGUCUACAAACCUGUGAAAAUAGACACUAACAUUGGUUAGUCUCCAAACCUGUGAAAAUAGACACGAACAUUGGUUAGUCUACAAACCUGUGAAAAUAGACACGAACAUUGGUUAGUCUACAAACCUGUGAAAAUAGACACUAACAUUGGUUAGUCUCCAAACCUGUGAAAAUAGACACGAACAUUGGUUAGUCUCCAAACCUGUGAAAAUAGAAACUAACAUUGGUUAGUCUCCAAACCUGUGAAAAUAGACACUAACAUUGGUUAGUCUACAAACCUGUG
rnacentral:lncRNA from 1 species